GACGAACGCUGGCGGCGUGCCUAACACAUGCAAGUCGAGCGAGUGGAGUUCUUCGGAACAAAGCUAGCGGCGGACGGGUGAGUAACACGUGGGCAACCUGCCUCAUAGAGGGGAAUAGCCUUCCGAAAGGGAGAUUAAUACCGCAUAAGAUUGUAGCUUCGCAUGAAGUAGCAGUUAAAGGAGUAAUCCGCUAUGAGAUGGACCCGCGGCGCAUUAGCUAGUUGGUGAGGUAACGGCUCACCAAGGCGACGAUGCGUAGCCGACCUGAGAGGGUGAUCGGCCACAUUGGGACUGAGACACGGCCCAGACUCCUACGGGAGGCAGCAGUGGGGAAUAUUGCACAAUGGGGGAAACCCUGAUGCAGCAACGCCGCGUGAGUGAUGACGGCCUUCGGGUUGUAAAGCUCUGUCUUCAGGGACGAUAAUGACGGUACCUGAGGAGGAAGCCACGGCUAACUACGUGCCAGCAGCCGCCGUAA
rnacentral:rRNA from 1 species